GACGAACGCUGGCGGCGUGCUUAACACAUGCAAGUCACGGGGGUCCCGCAAGGGAUAACCGGCGAACGGGUGCGUAACACGUGAACAACCUGCCCUCGUGUGGGGGAUAGCCAUGCUAACGCGUGGGUAAUACCGCAUACGUUCUUCUGGGGGAGUCCCCGGGAGAGGAAAGCUCCGGCGCACGGGGAGGGGUUCGCGGCCUAUCAGCUAGCUGGUGAGGUAACGGCUCACCAGGGCGACGACGGGUAGCGGGGUCGAGAGGAUGAUCCGCCGGACGGGGACUGAGACACGGCCCCGACUCCUUCGGGAGGCAGCAAUGAGGAAUAUUGCGCAAUGGGCGAAAGCCUGACGCAGCGACGCCGCGUGGGUGAGGAAGUCCUC
rnacentral:rRNA from 1 species